UGAAUCGCGCAUCGAUUAUUUAGCCUUCAAACUUAUCCUGAGAGGCCUAUAUACACCCCACCCUCCCUUCCAUUAUUUUGGGACCCAACAUUGAAGAUUAGAGUCACUUAAUCUUUUAGUCAAGGAAGCUCUCUCUAAAGAGAAUCCAAAAGGCUUUUUUGCACUCUUGUGCGAGGCUUAGUCAUUUUAGUUCAAAAUUUUUGUGUCGAGAUUGUCUUAGAGGCAUUCAUCCAAAGGUGUGUUGAGAGUUCCACUUUGAAUAUGGAGUUUCUGAGGGUUGCAAAGCAUUCUUGCGGCAGUUUCAUUGGAAUGCUUCCACAGUUGCAUUCUACGCUUGCAUCCUCAACAAUGCCUUCAUCUCAUGCUUUUGUUAUGACUAUUGUACAUUCAGGUUUGCAUGGUUCUCAUGCUACAUGAAAAGAUGUGGUGAUCCCGCCUAACUAAAGGUGAGAAAAUAUGUGUUGAGAGUACAAG